rnacentral:rRNA from 1 species
UUGCAAGUCGAACGGCAGCACGGAGCUUGCUCUGGUGGCGAGUGGCGAACGGGUGAGUAAUAUAUCGGAACGUACCCUAGAGUGGGGGAUAACGUAGCGAAAGUUACGCUAAUACCGCAUACGAUCUAAGGAUGAAAGUGGGGGAUCGCAAGACCUCAUGCUCGUGGAGCGGCCGAUAUCUGAUUAGCUAGUUGGUAGGGUAAAAGCCUACCAAGGCAUCGAUCAGUAGCUGGUCUGAGAGGACGACCAGCCACACUGGAACUGAGACACGGUCCAGACUCCUACGGGAGGCAGCAGUGGGGAAUUUUGGACAAUGGGCGAAAGCCUGAUCCAGCAAUGCCGCGUGAGUGAAGAAGGCCUUCGGGUUGUAAAGCUCUUUUGUCAGGGAAGAAACGGUGAGAGCUAAUAUCUCUUGCUAAUGACGGUACCUGAAGAAUAAGCACCGGCUAACUACGUGCCAGCAGCCGCGGUAAUACGUAGGGUGCAAGCGUUAAUCGGAAUUACUGGGCGUAAAGCGUGCGCAGGCGGUUUUGUAAGUCUGAUGUGAAAUCCCCGGGCUCAACCUGGGAAUUGCAUUGGAGACUGCAAGGCUAGAAUCUGGCAGAGGGGGGUAGAAUUCCACGUGUAGCAGUGAAAUGCGUAGAUAUGUGGAGGAACACCGAUGGCGAAGGCAGCCCCCUGGGUCAAGAUUGACGCUCAUGCACGAAAGCGUGGGGAGCAAACAGGAUUAGAUACCCUGGUAGUCCACGCCCUAAACGAUGUCUACUAGUUGUCGGGUCUUAAUUGACUUGGUAACGCAGCUAACGCGUGAAGUAGACCGCCUGGGGAGUACGG